UACGUAGGGUGCGAGCGUUAAUCGGAAUUACUGGGCGUAAAGCGUGCGCAGGCGGUCUGUUAAGACCGAUGUGAAAUCCCCGGGCUUAACCUGGGAACUGCAUUGGUGACUGGCAGGCUUUGAGUGUGGCAGAGGGAGGUAGAAUUCCACGUGUAGCAGUGAAAUGCGUAGAGAUGUGGAGGAAUACCGAUGGCGAAGGCAGCCCCCUGGGAUAACACUGACGCUCAUGCACGAAAGCGUGGGGAGCAAACAGG
rnacentral:rRNA from 1 species